rnacentral:rRNA from 1 species
GACGAACGCUGGCGGCGUGCCUAAUACAUGCAAGUUGAGCGCUGAAGGUUGGUACUUGUACCAACUGGAUGAGCAGCGAACGGGUGAGUAACGCGUGGGGAAUCUGCCUUUGAGCGGGGGACAACAUUUGGAAACGAAUGCUAAUACCGCAUAAAAACUUUAAACACAAGUUUUAAGUUUGAAAGAUGCACUUGCAUCACCCAAAGAUGAUAUCGCGUUGUAUUAGCUAGUUGGUGAGGUAAAGGCCCAACAAGGCGAAGAGACAUAACCGGACUGAGAGGGGUGUCGGCCACAAUGGGACUGAGACACGGCCCAAACUCCUACGGGGGGCAACAGUAGGGGAUCUUCGGCAAUGGGCGAAAGGCUGACCGAGCAACGCCGCGUUGGUGAAGAAGGUUUUCGGAUCGUAAAACUCUGUUGGUAGAGAAGAACGUUGGGUGGAGUGGAAAGCUCAUAAAGUGACGGUAACUACUCAGAAAGGGACGGCUAACUACGUG